rnacentral:lncRNA from 1 species
CACAAACAUCUGUGUGUAAGCUGAAAGCUACCUGCAGUGAAGUGCACAAACACGUUCCUGGUCAAACGGGCUGCAAGAUUCUACCAUGAGAAAACUGAAGUCCAGAGCGUUUAAAGAACUUGCCUGAGUGGCAGAGUAGGAAGUAGAACUUCGGUCUCUUGCUAAUCAGCUCAUUUCUUUACCCGUAUCACCAAACCAAGAUGGACAACGUGGCUUCAAAAAUUUUUUAAAGGGUGCUUGUGUGUGUGAGACGUUUGUGGAUGGGGGCUUUCCCAGGCUGGUCAGAUUUACCAUCUCAUCUGCUGAUCUCCAAAUGGAAGAUGAGCAGCGCCCGCCACACCCACCAAUGAUCAGAUUCCAGUUGGAGGGCCUGAGUGACUUCUUCCUCUUCCUCCCUGAGAAGAUUGUUUCCAGGAGCAGCUGUAGGACUGAUAGAGAGAACUAAUCAAGGAGCAUGGUUUGUUCAUUAUGAGGGCAAGGCUGGGCACAUUCCUAGCGUCCCUGCUGCUGGCUGCAUCCGGCGGGUCCCUGGGUUUUGACUUGAGCUCUCUGCACAUUCACCAGCCCUAUCUCUUCCUGUGCCCACACCGCACCCCACCCCCCCCAGUCCCUCCAUCAGCUCUCUGCCUUCCAAAGCCUUAGUGUGGGUUCCUUCACCAACAGCUUCACCCUUACCAGGUGCUCCCUUCUCCUCCCCCUGCAAAACCUCCAUUUUCUUAACGAUAACUGGCCAAGUGAACACUUAAAAAAAUAGCUUGUUAUUGUAAUUUAUCACUCUCCCAGGAAAACUCAAAUUGUUUUAACUGGUAAUAUUGCAAAUAGACUGUCUCAGUAAACUGGAGCAUUCCUGGCU